AACGAACGCUGGCGGCGCGUCUUAAGCAUGCAAGUCGGACGGCAAGGGUAGCAAUACCCCUAGAGUGGCGGACUGGUGAGUAACGCGUGGGUGACCUACCCUUGAGAUGGGGAUAGCCAUUAGAAAUAGUGGAUAAUACCGAAUACGCUCACGACCCUGUGGGGAUGUGAGGGAAUCAGGCUACGGCCUGGCUCGAGGAUGGGCCCGCGUCCCAUUAGCUAGUUGGUGAGGUAAAAGCCCACCAAGGCGACGAUGGGUAUCCGGCCUGAGAGGGUGUACGGACACAUUGGGACUGAGAUACGGCCCAAACUCCUACGGGAGGCAGCAGCUAAGAAUAUUCCGCAAUGGACGAAAGUCUGACGGAGCGACGCCGCGUGGAUGAAGAAGGCCGAAAGGUUGUAAAAUCCUUUUGCUGAUGAAGAAUAAGUGUGGUAGGGAAUGACCGCAUGAUGACAUUAGUCGGUGAAUAAGCCCCGGCUAACUACGUGCCAGCCGCCGCCGUAA
rnacentral:rRNA from 1 species